rnacentral:rRNA from 1 species
CUGCGGGCUUGCUCGCAGGGGGAAGUGGCGAAAGGGGCAGUAAUGCGUGGGUAACCUACCCCCUGGACCGGAAUAGCCCUGAGAAAUCAGGGGUAAUGCCGGGAGAAGUAGCGAGGUCGCAUGAUCUUGCUACCAAAGGGUCCGCCGCCGGGGGAGGGGCUCACGUGGUAUUAUGCUAGUUGGUGGGGUAAUGGCCCACCAAGGCUAUGAUGCCUAGCAGGUGUGAGAGCACGACCUGCGCCACUGGCACUGGGACACUGGCCAGACACCUACGGGUGGCUGCAGUCGAGAAUCUUCGGCAAUGGGCGCAAGCCUGACCGAGCGACGCCGCGUGUGUGAUGAAGGCCUUCGGGUUGUAAAGCACUGUCGAGGGGGAUCAAGGCGCAAGCUUGAGAGAUCCCUGGAGGAAGCACGGGCUAAGUUCGUGCCAGCAGCCGCGGUAAGACGAACCGUGCGAACGUUGUUCGGAAUCACUGGGCUUAAAGGGCGCGUAGGCGGAUGAUCAAGUCGGUGGUGAAAUCCUCUCGCUUAACGAGAGAAUUGCCUUCGAUACUGAUCGUCUCGAGCAAGGUAGGGGUGCGUGGAACUUCCGGUGGAGCGGUGAAAUGCGUAGAGAUCGGAAGGAACGCCGGUGGCGAAAGCGACGCACUGGACCUUUUCUGACGCUGAGGCGCGAAAGCCAGGGGAGCGAACGGGAUUAGAUACCCCGGUAGUCCUGGCCCUAAACGAUGGGCACUAAGUAG